UUUCUUUCUUUCUUUCUUUCUUUCUUUCUUUUUAUUUUUUUGUCACAGCUAUCAGUUUUAGGCAUUCAUUUCAGCGACAAAUUCUGAAGCGUUAGCCCCUCUGCCCGAAGCCACCUUGGACCGCGCCGCUCCUUUCUUCUUUGCCCCAUGCGGUUCCCAGACAAUGUCUUGACAAUUAAUAUUGUCUGCGCAGGAUUCAUCUUUCCUUUCAAGUCUAUGGUGCUAAACACAGAAAAGGGACAAAAAGGAGACAGUAACCAACUGGAGAGAAGAACAGAGAGACCAAGUUCUGUAGCCUGCAGAUCUGUAGGCAGGCCUUCUUGUGGCUGAUUUUAAAUUCUCUCUUCAUCUUCUCACCAUUUCUCUUACGUGUGUUCACCACAGUGUGAGCCUCCAGGAUUCCUGCUUAGUGCUUGGCUCUGGGUAAUAAAUGAGAAGGGAGAAGCA